AGGAAAAAUAGUAUGUAUUUUCUUUAAAAGAAAAAAAAAGAAAAAAAAAACAAAAGAGAAAAAUGCACUUGCCGAGACCUAAGACUCUAACCGAUAUAAAAUGCUCAGAAAAUUUGAGUAGAAAAAGAGUCAAAAGAGUGAAAUUAACCCUCAGAGUAUACGUGAUACACGAGAAAAAGAGAAAGAAAAAUCACACAACAUGACUACCGAGUUCAAAACCCUUUGUUAUCCAAUUUUUUUUUGUUUAUCCCACCGUACCCAAG
rnacentral:lncRNA from 1 species